rnacentral:rRNA from 1 species
GAGUUUGAUCCUGGCUCGGGAUGAACGCUAGCGGCAGGCUUAAUACAUGCAAGUCGAGGGGCAGCACGGGUAGCAAUACUUGGUGGCGACCGGCGCACGGGUGCGUAACACGUAUACAACCUACCUAUAACAGGGGGAUAGCCUUUCGAAAGAGAGAUUAAUACCUCAUAGCAUUAUGAAAAGGCAUCUUUUAUGAUUAAAGUUCCAACGGUAAAGAUGAGCAUGCGUCCCAUUAGCUAGAUGGUAAGGUAACGGCUUACCAUGGCGACGAUGGGUAGGGGUCCUGAGAGGGAGAUCCCCCACACUGGUACUGAGACACGGACCAGACUCCUACGGGAGGCAGCAGUGAGGAAUAUUGGUCAAUGGGCGCAAGCCUGAACCAGCCAUGCCGCGUGCAGGAUGACGGUCCUAUGGAUUGUAAACUGCUUUUGCACGGGAAGAAACACUGGAACGUGUUCCAGCUUGACGGUACCGUAAGAAUAAGGAUCGGCUAACUCCGUGCCAGCAGCCGCA